CGAUGUGUACCUGAUCCAACCCCAAAACCUGAUGACGAUGAAAAAUACUUCUUGUGGAAAUAAACAGAUAGAAGGUUGAUGAACGAAAAAGGACUUGGGAAUAUUAUUAAUAGUUGGUAGAUAUCUUCAAACAUGUAGAAACAGUAAUAACAUCAUGCAUGGAUUAGAUUGAAUUUAAUAGUAGUUCUACAUUGCAUUGUGGUGAGUAAAACA